AAACAAGAUCCGUCUGGCAGUGGCAGAGACGGUCGGUUUGGGUGGUCACUUUUGGCUGACUUAUUUUCGUACCAAAGCAGACGUGAAACUGUCAUUCGCAAGCCUUAUCCUGUACCUCGGCGAGAAAGAAGAAGAGCUAUUUGAAGAUUGCCCGGAGGACACUCGCAGUGAUGCCGCUGAACAUGUCCUUAAGAUACUGGUCAUCCAUGGUGCUGAUAAAGAGGAUCCAGUCGAU